GACCUGGUAGCUCAGCUGGUAGAGCAUUUCACUUUUAAUGAAAGGGUCCUGGGUUCGAACCCCAGCCCGGUCA
rnacentral:tRNA from 2 species